CUUCACUAAGGAGGAGAACUUCCCUUUGUCAAAAAAUUCAAAUUGCAAAAGGAGAGAAUAGGCCUCUUUCACUAUUUUAAUGUCAUGAGAGAGAGAGAGAGAGAAUAAGAGUAGUCCAACAUAAGCACUAGAACCGUGGGCACAUUGAUUACAUAAUGAGUUCUUCAAUCUUCCUUCUAUGCUGCCUUCUCGUAUUCUCUUUAUAUUCCCUCUCCCAACACACAGGCUACUCUCUAGAUGCUACCACAACACGCAAGUUGAGCAUGCCAGCCCCACUCCACGAUCACAAAACACAGUAUAAAAUGCAGGGAGUUGAUAAGGCAACGGAAAGUACCUCAGUAAACAAAGAUUCCACGAUACCAGAUUAUAUCGGCAACAGUUAUGGUCCCCAUGAUCUUGUCUAUCAUAUAGAUUACCACGGAGUAACAACCCAUCCAACUCCUAAACAUCCCAAACCAUAGUCUUGCAACUUUAGUUUUGCAUCACAAGAGAUUUUAUUCAUAUAUGUAUUCUGGUUCUUAUCAUCAAUAUAUAAAUGAAAUGCGUUGUGUGCGAGAGAAAAAAAAAAGUUUUGUUUACAUACAUACUUAAGCUGAUUACAUGAUGCAU